GGGUGAGUAACGCGUAUGCAACCUACCUUAAACAGGGGGAUAGCCCAGAGAAAUUUGGAUUAAUACCCCAUAACAUUAUUGAAUCGCAUGGUUUAAUAAUUAAAACUCCGGUGGUUUAAGAUGGGCAUGCGUGACAUUAGCUUGUUGGUGAGGUAACGGCUCACCAAGGCUACGAUGUCUAGGGGUUCUGAGAGGAUGAUCCCCCACACUGGUACUGAGACACGGACCAGACUCC
rnacentral:rRNA from 1 species